AGUGAACGCUGGCGGUAGGCCUAACACAUGCCAGUCGAACGGCAGCACAGUAAGAGCUUGCUCUUACGGGUGGCGAGUGGAGGACGGGUGAGGUAAACAUCGGAAUCUACUUUUUCGUGGGGGAUAACGUAGGGCAACUUACGCUAAUACCGCAUACGACCUACGGGUGAAAGCAGGGGAUCUUCGGACCUUGCGCGAAUGAAUGAGCCGAUGUCGGGUUAGCUAGUUGGCGGGGUAAAGGCCCACCAAGGCGACGAUCCGUAGCUGGGCGGAGAGGAGGAGCAGCCACACUGGAACUGAGACACGGCCCAGACUCCUAGGGAAGGCAGCAGUGGGGAAGAUUGGACAAUGGGGGGAAUCUUGAUCCAGCCAUACCGCGCGGGUGAAGAAGGCCUUCGGGUUGUAAAGCCCUUUUGUGGGUAAAGAAAAGCAGCAGGAUGAUACCCCGCUGUUGUGACGGUACCCAAAGAAUAAGCACCGGCUAACUUCGUG
rnacentral:rRNA from 1 species